rnacentral:rRNA from 1 species
AGAGUGAACGCUGGCGGUAGGCCUAACACAUGCAAGUCGAACGGCAGCACAGGAGAGCUUGCUCUCUGGGUGGCGAGUGGCGGACGGGUGAGGAAUACAUCGGAAUCUACCUUUUCGUGGGGGAUAACGUAGGGAAACUUACGCUAAUACCGCAUAAGACCUUCGGGUGAAAGCCGGGGACCUUCGGGCCUGGCGCGGAUAGAUGAGCCGAUGUCGGAUUAGCUUGUUGGCGGGGUAAAAGCCCACCAAGGCGACGAUCCGUAGCUGGUCUGAGAGGAUGAUCAGCCACACUGGAACUGAGGCACGGUCCAGACUCCUACGGGAGCAGCAGUGGGGGAAUAUUGGACAAGUGGGCGCAAGCCUG